rnacentral:rRNA from 1 species
UACGUAGGGUGCAAGCGUUGUCCGGAAUUAUUGGGCGUAAAGAGCUCGUAGGCGGUUUGUCGCGUCUGCUGUGAAAACUCGGGGCUUAACUCCGGGCCUGCAGUGGGUACGGGCAGACUAGAGUGCGGUAGGGGAGACUGGAAUUCCUGGUGUAGCGGUGAAAUGCGCAGAUAUCAGGAGGAACACCUAUUGCGAAGGCAGCUCGCUGGGACGUAACUGGCGCUGAGACGCGAAAGCGUGGGGAGCAAACAGG